rnacentral:rRNA from 1 species
ACGAGUGGCGGACGGGUGAGUAAUGUCUGGGAAACUGCCUGAUGGAGGGGGAUAACUACUGGAAACGGUAGCUAAUACCGCAUAAUGUCGCAAGACCAAAGAGGGGGACCUUCGGGCCUCUUGCCAUCGGAUGUGCCCAGAUGGGAUUAGCUAGUAGGUGGGGUAACGGCUCACCUAGGCGACGAUCCCUAGCUGGUCUGAGAGGAUGACCAGCCACACUGGAACUGAGACACGGUCCAGACUCCUACGGGAGGCAGCAGUGGGGAAUAUUGCACAAUGGGCGCAAGCCUGAUGCAGCCAUGCCGCGUGUAUGAAGAAGGCCUUCGGGUUGUAAAGUACUUUCAGCGGGGAGGAAGGCGGUGAGGUUAAUAACCUCAUCGAUUGACGUUACCCGCAGAAGAAGCACCGGCUAACUCCGUGCCAGCAGCCGCGGUAAUACGGAGGGUGCAAGCGUUAAUCGGAAUUACUGGGCGUAAAGCGCACGCAGGCGGUCUGUCAAGUCGGAUGUGAAAUCCCCGGGCUCAACCUGGGAACUGCAUUCGAAACUGGCAGGCUAGAGUCUUGUAGAGGGGGGUAG